rnacentral:lncRNA from 1 species
AAACAGAAAAUUAAAAAAAAAGAAAAAAAAUGGAAACUAUACUGAGUAGGUAAGUUUUUAGUAAGUAAAAUAGAAGGAAGCGGUUUUGUUUGGUUUUAUUAUUUUUGUGUUUAACUCAAUUAUGAAAUCGUUAUUUAAUUUUUUUAUUACUUAGGCUUCAUUUGGGAUUGUAGGAAGAUUUGCGUUACGUGCGGUGGGAAAAGACAAUAGAAAAAUAUUAUGUUUAUUUUUGUACAUAAUAGUGCAUUCCACAUAUUGCAAUUAAUUGGUUGCGAUAUAUUUUCUACCGUUUCAUUGGAGAACGCAGAAACAUAUCUCUAUAUAUUUUUUCUUCAACUCUUUUUUACUUAAUAGCGUUAGAUAGACCUCAAUACCAAACUAAGACUUAGAAAUAUAAAAAUUAUUUUUUCUGACAGAAACAUAUCGUCAAAAUUAUAACAAUUUUACUACAUAGCAGGUAAAAAGAAAAUAAUAAUAAUAAUAAUUUAAGAAGAGAAAGCUAAAAAAAAAAAUUCAAUAAAGAAAUUCGUACCUUGGGAUGAAAAUGUUAACAAUCAAUAGUAAAAUAUUUUGUAAACUUUCCGGUAAUUAAUAUACUUUUUCUAGAAAUAUUAAAAUUUAUUUUAAUAAAUAAUAAAAUUAUUCUCAUUUAAUAAAUAAUAAAAUGGGCCCACAUUUUUUUAUUGAGUCCAUUUUCAAAGAUGAGUAUAAAAAAAACAUUCCCAUCUAAUAAAUUUAAUUAAUAAAAUAAAAUGAUGGCCCCACAUUCAAAAGGUUCUCAAUUAAUAAGUUUAUAAAUAAAUGCAAGCGCAAUAAAGGAUAGGGCUAAAUGUCGAAAUCUUGUUUUCUUCUUAUUGGAUUUGAAUCAAUAAAUUUGUCGGGUCGUGUUUGGGUUAAAUCCGACGAGUCUUAGAUUCGGCCCGUUUACGCCGUAGAUUCAGCUCUUCGAUCCGUCCCAUAAUUUUUCCGGAUCAUAGUCUCCUCAUUUGUAAUUAAUUAUUAGAUUUUAUAUAUUAACUUUUAAUUGCUUAUGAUUUGUGUUAUUUUAUUUAAUUAAAUUAUAGAAGUAAUUGCCUAUAUACCCUUCAAAACUUCAGAAAUAUUUUAUUUACCCCUUUUUUUUUUUCUUUCUAAUAUACUCCUUAUAUGUUCCUCCGUUAUUUCAAAAUAUUCCUAUAGUUACGAUUUGUUAAGUUAACUUGGGUUAAACGUGAGUUAAAUAUCUAUCAUAGUUAAACAAAAAUUAAAUUUUCACUUUUGCCCGUAACUUAAAGGCAGAUAAGAAAUAUUGGUAAUGGUAGAAAAAUAUAUUUAAAAGACCAAAAAGUAAAAUAUUUUUUGUGCUCCUAACUUAAGAGCAAAUAAGAAAAGUCGGUGAUAGUAGAAGGGUAUAUUUGAAAGGGUAAAAUAUUAAUUUCAUAGAGAUAACAGAGUUUAUUAAUAGAUUUUAACUCUAGGGGUAUAUUUGAAAUAGGUUGGAACGUAAAAAAAAUAUUUUUAAUAUUAGCCUUCUAAGAGAGGUAAAUCAGAAUGUCGGGAACUUUUCACGGGUAUAUAAGCAAUUGCCCCUAAAUUAUAUUUACUUGUUAAAUUUAAUAGAAGUAUAUAUCCCUGAAAAAUUUUCAACUUUCUAAUUUACCCCUCUUGAAAAGUUAAUAUUAAAAUACCUUUUUACGCUCCAACCUGUUAGCAAUUAUCUCUAUGAAAUUACUAUUUUAUCCUUUCAAAUAUACCAUUCUAUCAUCACUGACUUUUCUUAUUUGUCCUUAAAUCAGCGACACAAAAAGUAUUUUAAUUUUUUAUCUUUUCAAAUAUACCCUUCUACCAUCACUAAUAUUUCUUAUUUGCAUUUAAUUUAGAGGCAAAAGAGAUAUUUUAUUUUUUUUAACUCUGGUAAAUAUUUAACACACGUUUAACUCAAAUUAACUUAGCAAGAGAUAACUGUAUGGAUAUUUUGGAAUAACAGAGAAACAUAUAAAAUGGUAUAUUAGAAAAAAAAAAUGUAAGGAUAAAUGAGAUAUUUUUAAAGUUUUGAGAGGUAUAUAGGUAAUUAUCCCUUUAAUUUUUAAAAUUAAGUAAUUUUAGCCAGAGAAGUUAGAAAUUUUACCAAACUAAUUGAUUAUUCUAUCAGGUUUUAAAAUUUUAACUACUUUAAAGCGAAUAAAGCUGGAUUAAUUACUCUUAAAAUAGCUUCUUGAGACACGAAUUAUACACAAUUUAAAAAUUUACCUUUGUUAACUAUAAAAUCUCAAAUAAAAGAAAAAAAAAUCAAACUUUAAAGAAGCGCAAAUUCAAAGAUUAAAUUUGAGGUACCAUUUUCAAAAUAUCCUAUAAUUGAGGGGUUCCUCAUAUAUAUUUUACCUAAUUAGUAACUAAUCCGACUCUAAAAACAGUUUCAAUGUAGAGAUUUUACCGGCGAACCAUCCAUUCCUAAUUCCCCAAAAUAAUAAUAAUAAAUAAUAAAUAAUAAAUAAUAAAUCAUAAAUCAUAAAAAUAAAUAAAUAAAUAAAUAACGAAACAAAUCUCUGAGACAAAUAUACCCCAUUCUCUCUCUCUCUCUCUCUCUCUCUCUCUCUCUCACUCUCUUCGUUCCCUUCUCCGAUCCAUUUCAAAACCUCGAUUUGAUCGGAGUACGAGGGAUUAAUUAAUGCGAUAAGGUGACAAACCCUAAACAUUCGCAUUGUAAUCGUCUCCCUUUGUCGAUAUAUCUGUCUUUUUUUCGUUUUUUCUGGGGGAUUAAUUUGAUAUGUUUUGGUUCUUCGAGUGCGUAAUGAUGGAAAAGUUCACUUGAUUUUAGGGCACAAUGGGUCCACGACAAACCCUAAUCGAUUCCAUUGUUUAGGAUCGAAUGUAGGUUGAUUUGCACUAUAUGAUCUCUGCUUCUUUCUUCUUCUUCUUCUUUUUUUUUUUUUUUUUUUUUUUUUUUUUGUNNNNNNNUUUUUUUCUUUUCUUUUUUUUUUUUUUUUUCUUUUUUUGUGUGGUAAUUUAGUCGAUCUAAUCAUUUCCUUGUGGUUGUUCUCUUUUGUGGAGGUUGUAGUGUCAACAAUGUGUUUUAAGCUUGUUUUUCUUGUUUUGUUAGAUCUUUCUGGAACGGAUCGAUCCAUACGCUUUGUUGUUCUUCGCGAAAAAAAAUUGCUUAUUUGUUAGGCUUUAUUGAUCUUCUGUAAAAAUAGCUUAUUUGUGUUAAGAAGAUCAUUCUGUAGGAAAGUAUUGUUCGCAAUCGGAUUUUUUCGUUGCGGCUAAAGUGUUUGAGUGAGAAGUUUUGGUAAGUCAAAAAAUUGGGUAGUAUAGUUAGUAAGUUUUACCCUUUUUGUGUCAUUUAACUGCAAAUAGUGUGAGGGGGAUUAUUUGAUCUUAAAUAGUGUAGAAUAGUAUAAUAACAACAACUUAGCAAAAGAGGGAUCGGAAGAAAUGACAAACUUUAAGGAGUAGAAUAGUUGUAGAAAUGCAGAUGUUGUCUUAGGAUUUUGAACUAUCAUUGGGUUUGCUUGGAAUCAUUGUUUGUAUCUUUCCGUUUCAUUCUUCUAAGAUUGCUACAUUGUUCCUUCUUCUUUUUUUUCAUGUAUUUGGGGUUUAUUAUUGUUUCAAACAAAUGAUGGCAUCAUGAUUGUAAGUUUAUUUUGCUUAAAAUCAGUGGUGAGAUUGCAAAUGACCACUGAUCUCAAAUGAAAAAGUAGCAAAAGAUAAUUUUAACUCAGUUGCUUUUAAAAACCAGUGAAAUGAUGGAUGAUGCCAAAAAAAGCCUUAUAUAUGUGUGAUCUUUUACUUAGAGAUGUCAGUCAGGCUACAACAUCCCUAAGUUCGCUUAUAUGGUAAAAAUCUUUAAUGCCCAUUAGAAUGUGCACGCUCCUUGUAUAUAGCAUAACUAGUCAAAAUGAGUUACAAUGUCUUAAUUGGAAAUCAUUUAAGAGGAAACAGAUGGGAGGGGAAUGUUAAUUUUUGGUGAUGGCAGUCUCAAUGGCCCUGUUUGGAUGCAUGAACUUCUUAUUCGGUGCGUCCUUUUGAUUUACUCAAGAAACAUAUAAUAGUUGGGAGAUGAGGAGUGUGAUGGCAUGUCCAAAAUGGAUACCAUAUUUGGCCUUCAUGUUAUUUUUCCGUAAUAACAUGAAAUAAUUAUCUCAUAGGUGAAUUAUAAUAUCCUACCAAAUCAUGGAUAUCCAGACCUCUUAGAGAGCAGAAAUCAAGCUCCUAGCUUUCAGUCACACAAGAAAAUCUUCGUACUGGAUAAGGUGUCAUAGUAAGACAUCCAAACAAGGCCUAAAGUACAACUGGGAUUUAGAUGGAUUUCGAGCCCUGGACUUUUGGUUUUCAUGAAAUGAGAACUUCGAAUGUUAGCAGAUAGCUAUAAACAGGAAAGGGAGUUUGUGAAUAUCUCAUCUGAUGAGACAACAGCCUUAUGGAAGGUCAAGAUACAUUAUUUUCCAAUAUGAUCCACCUAGUCUUUUUGAGUCCUUGUGUUGCCACUGUAUUGUUUGUGCGCAAUCUUGAAAAUGGCAUUGCAUCAAAGCCUGAUGUUGACUGGAUAUCAAAUCUAGCAUUCUAGUGAAUCUUCAUGGUAGACACAGCUAGGAAGGAAAUAUAAAAGCCCAAGUCAACUAGUUGGUGCAAUUCAUAGUUUACUCAGGUAGGAAAAAGAAAUUUGGAAACUUAAAACUGGAUUAGGAAAUACAGGAGCCAUAACUUCAUUAGGAAUGUAUGUGAUACCAUUAUUGUUACUCACACUAAUAAUAAUACUUUUUUUGUGCAUUAAACAGUUGCUAUGUAUGUUGCCUACUUAACCAAUGGCCAUUGAAUUAUCUAUUUUUGGUUCCCAGGUACAUUUCGACCGACAAAAGGCGCCGGUGAGAGUUUGCAGUUAUCAAGAGAGGGAUGAAAUUGGGGAACUUAAAUGGGUUAAGAAGCAAACAACUUAAACUCGCUGUCAUUGCAUUUUGCACAACACUUCUAGUUUUGGCAUGGGAGAAAGCACCAUAUCAAUCGUCUCUUAUCCUGCCCCCAGAUCAAUUAAUUCUAUUUCCUCCAGGUUCAUUCAUUGUGCCUAUAGACACACCCUUUUAUGUUGGUUUCGUUUUGGUCCCUUCGCUUAUAAAUAACAUUCUUCCUUCUGUUUUUUGUUUUUGUCCUGCAAUUCUCAUCCGCUCCAGUUGCUAAAACAAGGUAUCUACAUGACCACCCCUCUGCAGAGGAAGAUUUCCCAAAUGGAGAGACAUUACCACGAACAGCUACUGAAAAAGUAGAGCAAGUUCCACAUGCACCAUCCUUAGAUUCCACGAUUAUAAGCUCUGAGACAACUAAAGGGGACGACAAAGUUACAGGCGAGAAGAAAGGUGAAGUCUCUGUUUUAUAGUAAACUCUUACAUUUGCUACUCCUUUUCUUUCAAAGAUUCCACUUGAUUUGCAUUCUAUUUCUUCGUUUUGAAUUUGCCUUUUCUUCGUUUUGAAUUUGCCUAUCCAAAAUUUAUCAUUUCACCUCAUUUGAGCUCCAAUUUGAAUUGUUCUUGUAACAUGAACCUGAAUACUUCAACGCAAGGAUUUAAGUGCCGUGGCACGGGGUCGUGCCGGAAACUUGCUGGCACGGUGCGUACCGAGCCGUGCCGAUGCGUGCCGGUCAAAAAAAUUCUUAUGUGCCGACACAUAAUAGUAUAAAAUAUUUAUUUUCUUUAACAACAAAAUAUUCUAACUAUUUAUUAUGUCUUUUUAUCACAUCUUUUGAACUUUGUUGAGGAAAUUACUUACUAAUUUAAAAAAUAGAGGGUUUUGAGUUGUGCCAUCGGCACGGGGUCUGUAUCAUACCAGUAUCUUGUUGGCACGGUACGACAUGGUGGAUACGACCGUACCGACGGGCACUUAAAACCUUGCUUCAACGCAUGAUAUAAUUUCUUGGAAUUUUAAAUUAUAAAGAGGUUUUAAAUUGCUAUUUGUAGGAUGUAACUUUGCCAAGGGAAAAUGGGUUCCUGAUGACAGAAGACCUUUAUAUUCCGGUUAUGGGUGUAAAAAGUGGCUCUCUGAGAUGUGGGCCUGUCGGUUGACUCAACGCACGGAUUUCUCCUACGAGAAAUUUAAGUGGCAGCCUGAAGGCUGCGACAUGCCUGAGUUUGAAGGACCUACAUUCUUGAAAAGGUAUGAUUUGUUUGAUUCGGUAUCACAUGACCUAACUAGAAGUAAAUAGUCAUUCAACCCCAACUGAUUUUGGUAAAAACCAGGAUGCAGGACAAAACUAUUGCCUUUGUAGGUGAUUCCUUAGGAAGGCAAAUGUUCCAAUCUAUGAUGUGUAUGGUGACUGAAGGGAAAGAGAGACCGGAUGUGGAGGACGUAGGUGUAAUGUACGGUUUUGUGCAAGAAGCUGGUGCAAUUCGACCUAAUGGUUGGGCUUAUCGAUUUCCAAUCACAAAUACCACCAUUCUAUUCCACUGGACAUCCACCCUAUGCGACUUAGAGCCUCUUAACACAUCAAACCCUACUACCAGUUAUGCCAUGCACCUCGAUCGGCCCCCAUCCUUUCUUACACAAAAUCUCGAUAAAUUGGAUGUGGUAAUUCUUAACACAGGCCACCACUGGAAUAGAGGGAAGCUCAAAGCGAACAGAUGGGAGAUGUAUGUUAAUGGAUUCCCAAACACCAAUAAGGAGAUUGCUCCUAUGUGGAAAGCCAAGAAUUUUACUAUGCACAGUGUUGUUAAGUGGCUAGAUUCUCAGCUCCCUAAUCACCCUCGACUUAAAGUCUUUCUCAGGUCGAUAUCUCCUAGGCACUUCUUUAAUGGGGAGUGGAAUUCCGGGGGAAGAUGCGACAACGCAAACCCGUUGGCGGGUGGGGAUGAAGUUUCGCAUGAUGGUUCUGAGGAUGCCGAUGCUGAGCUCGCAGUGAGGGGCACAAGGGUUAAGCUUUUGGAUAUAACUGCUUUAUCGAAUUUGAGGGACGAGGGGCAUAUAUCGAAGUACAGCAUUACUGCCGCGGAGGGAGUACAGGAUUGCUUGCAUUGGUGCCUACCAGGUAUUCCUGAUGCAUGGAAUGAGAUCCUCGCUGCGCAGUUGUAGGUAUGCACGAUAUUAGGCUAUUAGUUGGAGGAUUAUUUUCACCACUGGUGAAGAACUAUCACCUGGACUUUGUGUACCACAUCAGCUGUGGAGCGAACCAAUCGAAAGGCAACGCAUACCCCCCUCCUUUUGUGCACCUGCGACUUCUCGUCAUCUUUUUCAUUUGUCAGAGCUGUUUGUUAGGCGAGGCAAGGUUAACAAAAAACCAAGGCUCCUCCUUAUUCAGGGAUACGUGUUGUUCUUUUAGCUGGUUCAUCUUGCGGUUGACGUGGUGCCCCAAUUUCAAAGAAUAAUAUCUCCUCCAUGUGGUUCUCAUUGGCUAUAUUACACUUACGGUUCGGUAACGAACCGUGUAAGUGCGAUAACCGGUCUUUUCUGGCUGUGCUUUUCUGUGGCGCACAUGAUUUUGUCAAUUCCUCGCUGCUCUAAGUACUGGCCAAAGAGCACACUAAUAUCCUGGUGUGUUUUUGAUGGUCAGAACAGAAUAUUUGAACUGUUUAUGAUGGGCCUAUAGAAGCAGUAUUUAGUUCUAGUUUAUUUGUUUGCUGAGCACAGUAUUUUCAUCUUCUCUUGUCAUCAGAUUACUACCAUGUAUAGUUAUGAUAAUAUAUGAUUUUAUUCCUUUUGUCUUAAAAUGCUGAUCAAUGCUAUUGUUGUGAUCAACUUUUGUUUGCUUCUUUUUGCAACAAAAAGAGAAUUCUUCGGGGCUGUGUUUUCGGAUGCGAUUUUCACCCAGAAACAAAUUAAUCAACUUUAUCAACUGAUUUGAUUUUCAAAAAAAAAAAAUCAACAAAUCAUUACUUUAACUUUCAUUAAAAACCUAAAUCCAAUUCCAGUUUUUUUUUUUUUUUUUAAAAAAAAAAAAUCUAAUCUAAUCUAAUAUGCAUGAGAGACCCUUCGAUUUUUCCAUUACUUCGUUCCGUGCUAUGUGGAAAUUGGCCAAGAAUAUAACUCAGGCCCUUUUUUAUUUUGUAAAUUAUAUUUUUUUUUGUCUUAACAGUGCAAAAUGGCCAAUACUUUUUUUUGGCUUAAUUGCACCAUUGAUAUUCAAAUUCUUCAAUUUUUUUUUUUAACUUCACUUCCCUCUUCUUCGCAAUCACGUCCCCAACUACCGAACUUAAAUUGGUGGUUUUGUUAUGGACCAAGGUGAAAUUAAAAUUAAAUUAAAAUUUCUUACUAAAAGUAUAAAAUUAAAAAUUUUGACUUUGAAUUUAAAUCUAUAAUUUUGAUUUAAAACUAAAAUAGAAAUUUGAAUUGAAAUUUAAAUUUUGAAUUUGACUUUGAAAUUGAAUUUAGUUUUGUGUUUCAAAGUUUGAAAACUUAAUUUUGAUGUUCGGAGUCAAAAUUGACCUUAAAUUUGAAUUCAAAUCAUAAUUUGAAAAAAAUUUGAAUUCAAAAUCAGAAUUUGAAAGAAAUUUUGAAUUCAAAAUGUGAAUGUGAAUUUGAAUUGAUAUUUUAAUUCAAAAUCUGAAUUUAAAGUUGAAUUCAAGAUCUAAAUUUAAAUUUCAAAUUUGAAUUCAAAAUUUUGAAUUUGAAUUUAAAAAUCUGAUUUCAAAUCUAAACUUUGAUUUGAAAUUUAAAUUCAAAUUCACACUUUGGAUUAAAAUUCAAAAUCUGAGUUUUAAAUUAAGUUUGAAUUUGAAUUUAAAAUUAAGCACAAAAUCUAAUUUGAAACUGAAUUUGAAAUAUGAAUCCAAAAUCAAAAUAAAAGUUUACAUAUUUAAACCCAAAAUAAAAUUAAAAUUUGAAAUCCACGUUCUUGUGCUUGUGCUGAUUUCAUCUUGAUUCAAAAUCCGGCCAUGAACAAAUUUGGAUGAUAGCAAAUUGCAAGGCACGUAGACUUGAACUCUGAUUUGGACCCCAUUAUCUCGAAACACAAACCGAAAGAACUUAAGAUUUUAUAAAUCUAAUUGAUAAAAUUACAGAUAAAUUAGAAAUUAUUAAAACAAAUAUCUUAUAGAAAUAGAAAUUAUAUUACUUGAGAAUAAUAUUUUGUAACGGUUUUUCUGAACAUCCGGUUAAUUAAAGUUUUCUAAUAGUAGGAACAUAUUUAAAAACAUUAUCAUUUUACAGAAAUAAUAUAUAAAAGUUGAAUUUUGUAAUAAUAAAUUUGUAAUUUAUUAUAUUUGUAGGAAUAUGUAUGAAAUUAACCUAUAUAUAAAUCAUAGGGAGCAUGAAUCCUAAUCUAACUGGACUAGAAAUCCUAGCCUUUGUUGAGUCCUAUUCCAAUUGGAUUAGGAGUCUAAAGCUAACGCCUAUGUGCGUGUGUAUAUAUANGCUUGGAUUUUGUUUAUUUUUUACUCCACCUUCCUCACCGACAGUAAUAAAAAAUUUCGCUCCAUCUUCGUCCAUAGAUAUUGGUAAGUGCUCGAACCGUUUAAAUACUUAUGUGUUAUAUAUAUAUAUAUAUAGAGAGCGAGAGAGAGAGUGGGGUUACUAUACUUUUGUAAGUAUGAAGCCUUCCGUACUUUCAGAUCGUUUUUUCACUUCGAUGGUAGAUAAAAUUGGACUAGAUGUUCCGACUUUUGAAUCGUCGAUCGGCUUCAUUAAAUUUGAUCUAGAGUAUUUAAAGUAUCUAGAAAAUAAAUUAUGCGAUUUUUUGAUAUUAUUUGCUUAGUGAAUGAAGGGGCUCAAAACCAACGGUUGAAAAUAAAAAUCUUACAAAACGUAAUAAUAUGACAUUACAAUUUUAGAUCAAAGAUAUUGAUAUUGUUUUAUAUAGCAUAAAAAAAAAAUUUAUCAAAAUUUCACGUGAUUUGGAUAUUUCUAUAUCGUUUAACUUGCGAACGGCUCAUGACGGUCAUUAAAAUUAUUGAUUUUGAGCUCCUUCGAUCACUAAGCAAAUGAUAUUGAAAAAUUAUAAAAUUUAUUUUCUAGGUAUUUCAAAUAUUCUAGAUCAAGUUUAACGGAACCGAUCGGCGAUUUGAAAGUCGCAAUAUGGAAAACGACCUGAUGGGCUUUAUUAUGAUUUCAAAAAUUUACGAAAUUUACGAAAUUUAUCUUGAUUUUUGUGCUUUGACGAAUUGAUCUUGUUCGCUUUUAUCAUAACAGGCAAUUUAUAACUAGAUAAGCUUUUCUUUUUUUUCUUUUUUUUUCUUUUUUUUUUUGAGUCAGGCCCUAAUUAGUUAAUGUGCAUAUAUAUAUCUGAUUAUGCAAUGCUUAAUUAAUUACUAAAGUUUAUUAUCGCAGAGGCGAAUAUAAGCAAUACAAUGUUAAACGGUUCAGUAUAAAAAAUCACGUACGUUCUUAAUCGGAUAAAAUUGGUCCGACAUAGUUAGACACACUGUACUUUUACCAACUUUCAUUUUCGUUCAUAAAUUUUUAAGUUGAUAAAUUAAUACAUCCAAACUUUUGAAAGUAUCACGUAAUAUUUGAAGUUGAUGAUAAUAAAUUAAGUGAGGCACAUACAAAAUAAUUUGAUUGUUGAUCAGUGACAAACAUAUAAUUCUGAGGACCAAAAUGAAAACUUAUUACAAGUUAGGGAUUACUGGCGCGAUUUUCCCUUAGGUAUCAUGCGAGUCCUUGUCCUUUUUUGUAAAUAGUAGUAGGUGAGUGGGUGGUGGUGCGAUUGUUCCUUAAUUGAUUGCUAUUCUUUAGGCUGAUUAAGUUGCUAGAUAAUCUAUAUCUAGGGGUGGAAACGAGCCGAGCUCGAGCGAGCUUAGCUCGGCUCAAAUUCGGCUUGAAAUUAAUUUCGAGCUUAAAUUUAAGCUCAAGCUUGGAUUGAAAUUAAUUCGAGCCAAGCUCGAGCGAGCCUAAUUUCGAGUCGAGCCCUAAACGAGCCGCUUGAAAUUCUCAACAUCAUACGAUCAAUAGUUUAAUUUGUAUAGAAUAUUAUCUAUAAUUUGAUACAAAAAUAUAUCUAAUAGUUCAAAGUACAAAAUAAUUAUAUAAAAUAUAGUAUUAUAAUAUGAAAAAAAAAAAUUUAUGAGUUAAUAAUCUAAUCUUUUCAGUCUCACAUGUCUUUUCUUCCGCCUUCAAUCUCCAUAUAUAUUUAUUUUCAUUUAUGCAGUCAAAAAAUAAAUAAAUAUAUAAGAUAAAUAUUGAUUAAAUUAUCCAAUCAUAUAUAACUAAAAUUAAAAUUUAUAUGAAAAAUAAUUUUUUACUUUAAAAAUAUUCUGUAUAUAUUCUCAAGCAUAUAAUUAAUAACAAAAUAGGUAAUGCAGGCAUAUCUGAUAUUUGUAACUUGGAGGGCUUCGGCUUGGCCACUAGGUGAGAACAGAAAAAGAGAAAGAGAUAAAUAUAUUGAAAAUUUAGACGAUAUAUAAAAGAAGAAAGAAAUGGAAAAAUAAUAUAAAUUUGUAAAAUUUUGCUCUUUUAUUUGUCUAUUUGGUUUGUUUUUAUGGGCCAACAAUAUUUGCCCAAUUUUAACUAAACUCAGAUUAUUCAUUCAACCUAUAUAUAAUUAAAAUAUAUUAUAUUUAUAUAUUUUUUAAUAUAUAUAUAUAUAUAUAAAAUAUAUAUAUAUAUAUAUAUAUAUAUAUAUAUAUAUAGUAUAUAUAUAGUUAAACAAAUGCUAUCGAAAAUAUAGAAAAUUUGAUGCUUUCGAAUUUUGACCAUUUUAUUAAGAAUUGUAAGUGGGAUGAUUGCGGUCCCCUAAGUUAAAUAAUAUUCCUAAGAUUGAGUGUCCCUACAAGUUAAUAAUAGUGUUAAUUCAAUAAUGAAUUAGUUGAUCUAAAAUCAAAAAAUCGAAAGCACCAAUCCUCUAUACUUUCGAUAGCAUAUAAUAAUAGUAUAUAUAUAUAUAUAUAAAUAUAUAUAUAUAUAUAUAUAUAUAUAUAUAUAUAUAUUCGAGCUUUUCGAGCCUAAUUCGAAUGAGCUGAGUAAUACUCAAGCUCGGCUUGAAAUGAAUUUCGAGCCUUUUUUUUUAUUCAAGCUCGGCUCAUUUAAUUUUGAGUCGAACUCGAGCGAGCCAAAUAUCGAGUCGGACGUGAGUCGAACGCGAGCCGGCUCGCUCAUUUGCCGGCCCUAUCUAUAUCCAUACCUCUAUACCAAUACAUUAUUUCUUUUAAACUUGCCACGUAGCAUCAUUUUCUUUCUUUGUUAAAUUAAAUGUGGGCCCCAUCAAUUUCUCUUUCUUUUUUUGAACCAAACCGGACUGUUGGGUGCCACCUUGAACCGGCUCAAGUUUUUUAAAUAAUUAUAUAAUUUUUUUCUGUUUGUGCUUGAACUGAACAGGAUCAACUUGCUUCAUUGGACCGAAUCAAUUAUUUUAUAAAUUCUAUCUUUGAACCAGAUAUAUUUUUUUAAUUAUCUGAACCGAACCAAUAAUACUGAACCGAAUCAACUUCAUUAGAUCGAACCAAAACAAUUACUAUACAUAUUUUUUAUCUUUGAACAAGAUUUUUCUUUUAAUUUAUCUGAACUGAGCAAAUAACUGUUGAAUAAGAGCUAGAGCUCCACCUGAACUAUCUCAAGUUCUCUUCUUUUGUUGCUUGAACCGAACCAGAUUUUUUUUCUUUACUUGAACCGAACCGGUGUUUCUUGCUUGAACCAAGCUCGGUCAAACCUAUGCCAUUUUUCUCCUCUUUGUUUUUGUACAAAUUCUUAUUAAGGAUGGGACUUUUUUUUUAAAAAAAGAAAAUUAACUUGAUUUUUGUAUUAAUUUAUUUUUAAUAUUGAUAUAAAAUAUGAUGAUAAAGUAUAUUUAGCAAAUAUGUAAUGUGUUCAUUUAUUUUUAAAAUAUUGACUCAUACAUAUAGAUUGCCUACACGUUUGAAUAAUUUAUAAUCAAUCAAAUAAAAAUUAUUUAAAAAUUUAUAAAAAGAUAUAUCAUUAAUAUGUUUAAUUUUUUUCUAAUUUUCUGCCCGUCGCAUCGCACGGAUUACUGCACUAGUUAAUUAAUAAACUGCAUAACUAAUUAAUUAAUUGAAUAGGAGAUCAUCUCUCUGUCUUCGACACGACUAAAAGUUUUUGUUCGGUCUUCGUACGUAGAUAUAGGUAAAUAUUUGAAACACGGAAAUAUUUAUGUAUUCUUUUUUUCUGUUUCUUUCUUCUUCUUUUUUUUUUAUAUAUAUUUUUUCGUAUCUGGUGAACCAAAUUUUUUUUUUUUUUUUCAUAACGUAAAAUUUGUCACUAGGUAAGCUUUUUUCUUUUUUCUUUUCAAAUUAGGCAUAAACUAAUAUGCAAAUCCGAAUAUAUAUUUAAUGCUCGCUAGAGUUAGACGUGAAUGUAAGCAAUGCAAUGUUAGAUGAUUGUGCAUAAGAAAUCACGUUUUAAAUUAGCAAAAAAUGAAAAACGUAGUGAUUUGUGUAGUUAAGCUAUAUUCCAGUCUCAUGUAUUAUAGAACCUAAGAAAAGUGUGUGAGCUAAACCAGUAUUGAUUAUCUUUUUAGUAUUUUACGAUUUGUUCAAUAAUCUUAAUACGUACAAAGUUCUCAUUAUGUUUUCUAAAAAAAUUUCAAUCAAAAUUAUUGGUGACUCAUUAAUUUUUGCAGAUAAAUAUUAUCAGAUGGAAGAGAUACAAAUUGCGCGAUCGAGCUCUACGGAAUCUCAAGCAGCACCAUGGUUGGUCUUUUUUUGUGGAAAGAGUGGUCGGAAAGCGCGAGUACUCUUCAGCAUACCUGAACAGAAAUUACACAUUAGAAGGAUAAGAAUAGAUGAAAUGGAGAGAUUUAGUUGUUGGGUAACUUCUCAAGGUUGGUUAUUUCUACUUGAUCCUCUUUCAUUAAGAACUGUUUUAUGGGACCCCAUAACCUUGAGGAAGGUUAAACUACCACCUAUGGAGCUCGACUUAGCAAAACAAUGCAAGUGCAUACUUUCAGCACAGCCUACUGAUCCAAACUGUUUUGGGGUAAUUAUAGAUCGUACAAAUAGCAUCUUCUGGUAUUGCCAUUCUAGAGAGAACAAGUGGGUCAAAUACAAGUGUCCCAUCUCAAAAAUAAACUUGGAAAGCAUAGUUCUUAUGAAGAGCAACAUUUAUCAUUAUGAUUUUUGCAAUGAAAAUCUGGUGAUAUUCGGAUUUGGUUCAUCCUUGGAUGUUACAACUUUGCCGGUAAAGAGAUGCAAGUUUCCAGCGGGCCUUUAUAUGCGACAACACUAUUUAUUGGAAUCUCGCGGGGAUUUGUUUCUGGUGUUUUUUUGGUUUCUGAGAUGUACUCUUAGAACAAUUGCCCAUAUCUGCGUCUGGAAGAUGGAUUUAUCAAAGCAAGCGUGGUUCCCGGUAGAAAGUCUUGACGACCGGGUGUUCUUUGUGAGCGGAAUGUCCGGAUUUGCCGCAUCGCGUUCUGCGAGAGAGCUUGGUGUUAAGAGCAACUGCAUCUAUUUUGUGAAUUCUGAUGACAAGUACUUACAUAUCUUUGACAUGGAAGAAGGGACCAUUGCUACCCACAACCCGUGCCCGAAUCCGAAUCUCAAUGUCUCUUGGUGCGAACCUUUCUUCAUGAUGCCUAUCAGUCGUUGAACGAAACUUCAUGUAUUAUUUAUUUAUUUAUUAUUUGUAGGCUGGAUUUCUAUUUAUAAGCACUCAUGGCCUUUUUGUUUCUGUGGCAAUUAAUCUUAACCAUUUUUUAGCCCAAUCUCGCACAUCAAAUUUUUUUACACGUUUUUAUUUAUUAGUUAUUUUAGAUCAAAUUAUUCAGAUGACUUGUAAAUUUUGUCUAAGUUUUAAAAUGUUUGAGACCUAGAAAUUUUGGUCAUCUCAUGAACAAAUUUUGUCUACCGCUGCCGGCUAACGUUUUCCUGCCUUGUGCAGGCUGACCAACUAAAGAAAACUCAAUUGAGGGCUUUUUUUUGCAAAUAGCCCCCUAACUAAUUUUUUUUUUUAAAUUGGUCCUAUCAAAAAUUUAUUUGCAAAAAUGGCCCUGGUCCCACCACGUCAGCGCCACGUCAGCGCCACACGGGCGGGGCUGGGCCAUGUGUUUAAGUUGAACACGGUGAACCAUUCACCGUAUUCAAUACAAGAUUUUUGUAUUAGACACGGCGAAUGGUUCACCGUGUCCAAUACAAAAUAGUUAACUGCGAGGUAUUUGUAUUGGACACGGUGAAUGAUUCACCGUAUCCAAUACAAAUAAUUGAACACGGUGAAUGAUUCACCGUGUCCAAUACAAACAUUCAAAACUUAGUCAUUUUUGGCUAAGUUGGAGGUAUUUGUAUUGGACACGGUAAAUCAUUCACCGUGUCCAAUACAAAAACCUUGUAUUGAACACGGUGAAUGGUUCACCGUGUUCAACUUAAACACAUGGCCCAGCCCCGCCCGCGUGGCGCUGACGUGGCGCUUGCGUGGCGGGGGCAGUGCCAUUUUUGCAAAUAAAAUUUUGACAGGGCCAAUUUUAAAAAAAAAAUUUAUCAGGGGACUAUUUGCAAAAAAAGCCCCUCAAUUGAUGACCUAUGUCUUCCUUCUCUAAACUGAUCGAAAUAUUUUUCUUUAAAGUGUUAUUAUUAAAUUUUAUAGUAUCCACCGUAACAAACGAUGUUUCUAAUUGGAUAUGGUACCAAUGUCAGCAAACUCGAUUGAUGACCUUUUGCCUCCUUGAUUGCUACCUGCCCGAAAGUAAUUUUAAGAAAAAACUUCAAAUAUUACGGCUGUGAUUUCACACUUUUUUGCUUUAAUACUCUGUGGUUUGAAGUAUAUCAAUUCAGUAUCCUGUGGUUUUAUUUUUAUCUUUUUAUUAUUGAUUUCACUAAUUUUUUUUAUUAGAUCAGUGUUAAAGUUAAAACUAACUGGUACUAAAGUGAAUAUUCGAUAAAUAUAGGUGGAUAUCUGAAAUUUUUAAUACAUAAUUUAACGAAACAUUAAUGAAAAAGCUGACAAAAAAAUAAAAAUAAAACUACAAAAUACUAAAAUUUGAUACACUUUAAACUAUAUGGUACCAAAGUGAGAAAGUACGAAACUACAUGGUGGUAUUUGAAGUUUACCCUAAUUUUAAUUAUGGAAAGCCCAAGGUCACCCGUUAAUCCUGGCACUGAUAGUUUUAGCAGAUGAAGGAUUAUAAGGGCAGCUCACUUCAGAACAUUGCUUUCCUUCAUAAUAAAAGCUAUCCGUUUUUUUUUUAUUUUUUGAGAAAUAUGUAACACGCCAUCCGCUUUAUUUAUUUUAUUCAAAAAUAAACUUAGCUGAAAAUAUAAUCAAUUAGAAUUCAAAUUUAGGAUCUAGGAUAUCAACCACAAAAUUCUUUGUCGCUUGCUCUAAGGACGGUUUGUAAGAGCUAUCCAUCGUAUAUUUUACUGCAUCAGAAAAAAAAAAAAGAAAAAAAAAAAGAGUUACGAAUACAAAAUAUGAAAACACAUAUGUUGAAUUGUAUUUGUCUAAUUGAUAACCCUAAUGGUGGAGCAAUCCUGUGUGGAGGCCGAAGCUUAUAUAUAAUCCAUUAGGUUGAGCAAUCUUAUAUAAUCCUAAUGCAUACUGUUGGCGGCCUAAAUUCCCGACCCUUGACACGGUCAAGUAUCCUCCUCGGAAAGAGUGUCAAGAUGAUGAGCGGCCGCGGAUAAUGACGCUCGAAGUUUGCGCCCACGACGGAUCAAGCGAUUCGGCCGAUGAGGGAUCGUAUCAGCCGGGUUCGAAAACCUCCGCAGUAAAUUUUGUGAAUACUCUUCUAAAUUUUAAAAUAUCAUAAAUACCUCUUCAAACACAUAAAAUUAUCAUAACUAUUCUUGCCGCUAAGGACACGUCACUUUACCCGGAUUAAAAUAUAGUUAAAUAAGAGUUAAAAUAUAGAAUGACAAAUUUUUUCCCAAAAGUUAGAAUGAUAUAUUUGGCGGGAAAUAACUAAUUAAUGCUAAGGUAAAAAAUUUCGGAAACUAAUAUACAAAAUACACAGUAAAAUUUUCGCCCCCAACUUCGUAAUUCUUCAGCUUAUAUAUUUUUUCAGCAUUUGUAUUUAGUACUUACGGUUAACCGUACUGUGUUGAAAAUUUUCUACCCAAGCAAAUUUGUUGCACCAUCUUUAUUCCUCAAUCUAUAGAAAAUAUACGGCAUUACAUAUUUAAAAUAUAAUUAAUAAUUAUAUGCAUACUAAAGUAUCACAUCAAGUUACCAUCUAAUUUGGGCAUCAAUAGAAUCAUCGACCUUUACUAAUUUGGGCAUCGAUAGAAUCAUCGACCUUUACUAUGUGGUUGCUUUAGCAUCUAAAUUCGGCACGGUAUACCACGCACAAUCACAAUUAGGAAUUAGGCUAUGAGGUGUUGUAAAAUAUCAACUACUUAGGGGGUGUUUGGCCUAGCUUUUAAAAAGCACUUUUGAGCUGAAAAGUGAUUUUCGGCUCAAUAAAGCGUUUGGCAACUCGAUUUUAAAAUCUGAUUCUGCUUUUUAGAAUCAGAAAACUGAUUUUGAAGGCUCCAGAAUCAGAAGCAGAAAAAAGCUGCUUCUUGAAAUCUGAUUCUGAUUUUGAAUUUAAACUUCAAAUUUUUAUUUUUAUUUUUAAUUUCAAUAUUUAAAUCUAAGUUUAAUUUUAAUUUUUAAUUUUCAAAUUCAUUUUUGAAUUUUUAAAUUUUAACUUUUAAAUUUUAAAUUUUAAAUUUUAAAUUUUGAAAAAUAGAUUUCAAACUUUAAAUUUUAAAUUUUAAUUUUAAAUUUCAAAUCUCAAAUUUAGAAUUUAAAAUUUAAAAUUUUAAAUUUAAAAUUUAAAAUAGAUAAAUUUAAUCUUUGACAUUUUAAGAUUUAAAAUUUUAAAUUAAAAUUUAAAAUUUUAAAAUUAAAAUUAUUUUUAAUACUAUCAAUUAUAAAUUUCAAAUUUUUAAAAUUAAAUUUAAAUAUCUCAAAUUUAAAUUUAUAAUAUUAUUUAAAAUUUAAAAUUAAAAUUAAAAUUUGAAAUUUAUAAUUUAAAAUAUUUUUAAAUAAUAAAUUAUUUAUAUUUAAAUACAUAAUUAUUUAUAUUUUACAUUUAAAUUUUAAAUUUUAAUUUAAAUUUCAAAUUUAAAUUUAGAUUUUUAAAUUUUAAUUUUUAAAUUCUAAAUUUAAAGUUUGAAAUUUUAAUUUAAAUUUAUAUUUUUAUAAAUUAAAUUUUAUAUUUUAAAAUUCAUAAUUAUAUAUAUUGUUAAAUUUAAAUUUAUAUUUUAAAUUUUAAAUUCAUAAUUAAUUUUAAAUUUUAAAUUUUUAAAAUUUUAACAUAUUUUUUAAUAUAAAUACCAAAUUUUAAGUUUUGUAAAUUUUGAACAUUAAAUAUUUUAAUUUUAAUUCAAAUUUAAAUUAAGAUUUUAAAUUAUUUUAAAAUAAAAAUUAAUAAAAAUAUUAAUUUAUGCAAACAUCAAAAAAAAUUUGCCAAACAGCUUUUCAAAAUUAUUUCAGAAAAAUCACUUUUAUCUAAACUCCGCCAAACACUCUACAGCUUCUAACCAAAAUCACUUCUCCAAAUCAAAAUCACUUUUUCAGAAAUCACUUUUUCAUAAGCUAGGCCAAACAGGCCCUUAGUAGGCUUUGCUACGUGGAGAGAAUAAGAGGGCAUUUAUGAAUGGUGUUAAUAUACCAAUUGCGGCUUCCUAUACUUAAAUGAACUGUACAGGAGCAAAAAUGGCAUUUAAAAUUUAUUCGGUUAGAUUUUGACGGCCGGUUAGCAGUAGGGGCAUUCAUGAGUAUUUUUUGAAUUUAGAAAGGUAUUCAUGAUAUUUUCAACUUUAGAGGGUUAUUGAUGAAAUUUUAGCCUCCCACAGGGGGUACCUAUGAAAUUUUCCCUUUUCUAAAAAUGCUACCCGUGGACAUCUCUAAAUGCUUGGCACGAAUCUAUACCACAUCACUUAAAUUCUUAGGCAGAGUUGCAGAGGGGAGUAUCAUAAAAUAAAGGAAAAACUUCAAAAGCCCCGCCUGUGGUUUCGCAUUUUUUCAUUUUAGUACCAUGUGGUUUAAAGUGUAUCAAGUUAGUACCCUGUUGUUUCUCACUUUAUCAUUUUAGUACACUAUGGUUUAAAAUGUAUCAAGUUAGUACUCUGUGAUUUUAUUUUUGUUUCAAAUUAGUACCCUGUGGUUUUAUUUUUGUAUCAAGUUAGUACCCGGUGAUUUUUAAGCCACAGGGUACUAAAGUGAUAAAGUGCGAAAUCAUAGGGUACUAAAUUAAUACACUUAAAGCCACAGAAUACUAAAGUGAAAAAGUGUAAAAUCACAGGAUACUAACUCGAUACACUUUAAACCAAAGGUACUAAAGUGAAAAAAAAUGAACUGGUUUCUAGAGAGAUUCAGAAUGGACUCAGAUAUUUGAAAUUUUUCCUAAAAUAAAUUAAGGAGGAAAAUACAAUAUGUUUGAGCGACCUUAUUAUAGCGACAUACAUAAUGCAUAUAAUUACAACUUUGCCCUUACGUAGCCCCCAAUUAACUGAUAAAUUAUUUAUUUAGUGGAUGAGGCGCCCUUUCAGCUUCGUACUCGCCCGUGAACGUACGCAUCACUUCAACGAUCUCCGACUCAGGCUUUAUAAGUAAUUAAUUAAUUAAUUAAUUAAUUAUUAGUGCUUUGCACAAAAUCUAUUCGUAUUCAAUCACCCAGUUAUCUACACAUAUAAUUGUGUGAUGAUGAUCACAAUAAUAUAAAACCAGAGGGAAUUAACAUGUACAAGGUUAGUCCCUCUCUCUCAUGGCCCUUUUUUUUUCUUUUUCUAAUUAUUAUUACUAUUAUUAUUAUAUUAAAUUUAAAAUUGCAGGUUCGUACUACUAACUGAUAGUCUGAUUAGUCGGUACUCUUCGAACAUGCACCAAAUAAAGGGAUUAUUAAUUUUAGUUUUAUUAAUUAAUUGUUCUCUAAUGGCUGGCUAAGUAAGAACUACUUGAAAAGGAAAGCCAUGUGCGGUCAUAUAUAUAGGUGUACAUGCAUGUUAAUUUUUUUUUCCAUUUAUUAAAGAGACUUUUACUGUUAUUUACCUUGUUUAAUUUGGUUUUAAUGAUGGAUGGAUCCACCCUUCUAUAUAUGAACACUUACUUCAAUAAAUUUUUCCCGGUAUAGUAAUUAAUUUACUAUCAUUUUGUUUACAGCAUAAGUUUCCAUGUAAGAAACCACAGCAUGCAUGAACACAUGCAUUAUUUUGCAUGGAACAAAGAUAUAUAUGUAGUCAUAAUUUACUCAAAGAUUUGGAUGCAAUUAUUAGGUGUAAUAAAUUGCUUUUUACUGCAUAUGAUCAAUGUUUCUUGCAGGUUUAAGCCAAUUAAAUUCCCUUAUCAUGAGGAUGAUGAUGAUGAUGAUGAUGGUGCAGUACUACCUCUUCAUUUUUUCGAUCUUAAUCUCUUCAUGUACUACAUGUUAUGGUCUUUGGCCUUUUUCUUCUUCUUCUUCUUCUUCUUCUUCUUCUUCUUCAACUACUUUAAACGGCGACGCGCGAAAGGCGGUGUCAUUCGAUGGCACGGUGGCCGAGUUCUCGAUGGAGAACCUCAACAGCCGGAGAGGAGUAGAGCUGCUGGAGAACGCGCGGAGCAAGCUGGCCGGCCCGAAGAACUGCUGGCAGGACGCGUACCGGAGCGUGUUCUGGAGCUGCGCGGAGAUCGUGGCCGACAAGGAGAAGCAGUCGCGGUUGGCGUGGGAACUGAGCAGCUGCUUUCAGGAGGACUCGGGCCGGCCCGCGUUCCCCGCGUGCGAGGCGCGCGCUCCGAUGGUGAGCUGCCGCAAGAAGCUGAGUGAUUCUGAUCAGAAGAUCUUCCUCGAGUUCUUCCUGGAGACCAACACACUUUGCCACCAAUUACAGUUAAGUGUAGCAUUUUAGUUUACACUGCUGCUAUGUUAAUUCAAGUCUUAGGCAUUUUUGUUGCAGCUACAUAUCUUUUGAAGUUGCUAAACCUGUCACUUUUUCGCCGGUUUUUACGGCGAAAAUGCUUUUUAUGCACUUCUUUUUGUUUGAAUAUGAACUUGAUUGCGUGCUUUAAAAACCGUGCUGUCGAUCGUUCGAAACUGCGCAUCAUCUUGCGAAAGGAAAGGGGAAGUUGGCCUCAGAAGCCGAAAAGCGGUUUGAAGUCCCUUGUUGCGAAAAAAUGAACGAGUGAUUUUCGUUUUUAGCGCGAAAGGCCUAAAACUUUUGCUUCUUCUAUCUGCAUGAUUUGUUCAGGGCAGAAGCAUUCAGGCGCGGCACGGAGAAGUUGGUGAAUGAUUUGUCGAGAUCAGCUCAGUUCGCCGAGGAGAAGCUCGAGACGAUUGAGGAGCGAUCGGAGCAAAUACUACGGAACUCGAAUACGGUCCACGACUCGUUAGCCUCGAUCGGACUCCAGACUCAGCAAUUGGCCCGAGCAUCGAAGGAAGUCGAGGCCCAGAUCACCGACGUUUUCGAGCACUCGAAGGCGAUCUUCGAGCAAUCCAGGGAAAUAUCGGCCGCUCAAUCGGAACUAAAAGAAGGGCAGACAGAUCUGAGGGAGCGGCUCGAGGCCGGCGUGGCGCGGUUGCAGGAGUCCUACGAGACUCUAGGAAGUGAGAUGGAUAAGUUGAGGGAGGAAACUAUGGAUAUAGAGAGGGAAGUUAAAGUUGUAGGGGAUUCUAUGGCUUCAAAGAUGAGAGAUCUUCAGAUCACAGCUGAUGAUAUUGGAAGUGUAGCUGGAGUUUCCCUGGAGAAGCAGAAGCAGCUUUUGGAUGGACAGGCUGUUGCACUUGAGGGUCUUGAUUUCCUCCGGAAGUUUCAAUCACAAGCGCUCGAAGAAAGCAGGUAAAUUCUGCACAUUGGAUAUGAAUUAGAAUUUUGAUCUGCGUAUAACGUCAGCAGUUUCAUUUUGACUGGAUACGAGCCCUUGCAAAUGUAGGCAUGUAUCAAAUUCGGAUUUCGUGGUCUAAGGUACUUCAUAGAUCUCUUAUGUUUUUCGUGAAAAUAUUUGGCUAGGGACACUAUUCAGAAACUGGCAGAGCUUGGUCAGAAACAGCAGGAUGAGCUGCUACUUAGACAGGAGCAAAUCCAGCAGGCCCAUGACCGCCUGAUCGAAAAUUCGCAGUCAAUUUUGGCCGCUCAGGUGCGACGGCACAUUCCUUGUCACUACUUGAUUCACUUCACUGGGCUUCUAGUUUAUGAACAGAAUAAAUGUUCUUGUUUGCUUUUGGAUUGUGCAGGAAGAGUUUGAAUUGAAACAAGCACGCAUUUUUUCUGCACUAGAGAAGCUCUUCGCUCUUCAUAACGCGAUUUUGGUCGAGUCCCGCUUCAUCAAGUCAUUCAUCUUCUACUCUUGCUUGAUAUUUCUUCUUUACAUGCUCACUAGCGCGAAACAAACAUUUGGUAUCAGAGGCCGACUCUACUUCGGUAUGCUUCUUAACACUCAUAAUUGCUCCGUAACUUCCGAAGAAAACAAAGAAUUUUAGCAGUUAAUGCGAUGGAAUUCUUAGGUCUAUGUAUCACGCUCAUUGUCGAGCUCGGGAUACUUAAAAUCGGAGAUGACGACUUCAAUAAACAAGCUUGGAUCAUGUCGAAAGUGUUCUUGGCGAGAUGGGCAUUUCUCGCAGCCGCUGCAGUACAAAUCUUGCACUCUAUCUUUACUUACAGGUAUACUUUUAGCAACCAUCUUAAAAAUCUCAACUUUUGUUACUAGAAUAACUAGUAGGAAUGGUAAGAUGAUCACUGAGAAUAUUUUCCCCACAUUUUCGUAGAGAUUAUGAGGUUUUAAACCAUCGGUUGCUGCAAACACUGAUUGAGAGGGUUCGCGCGAUUGAGGAUAACUCAGGUUUGGAAUUUUAUCUAUAAUUUUUCUGCGUUUAUUCUGCGCUAACUAACAUUGGACUAAUUUGAUUGUGAAAAAUGUGUUCACAUGAAACAGGUAAAAAGUACUUGACUUAUAGCUCAGAUAGUGAUAGAAGUAUCGGCGAUUAUUCGUGGAUCGUCGAGGAGUUGCCCGAAGAUGUAGAUAGCAAAGCGGAUCCAGACUAUAACUUGAUGGAAGAAGUUGCAGAGAAUUCAUUUUCUGCAGCAUCUGCGACCCGAAGAUAUGAUCUUCGUCCGCGGCGUAGGCAAUAAAAUGUUUUUUUUUUUUUUCUGUUCUCUUUUAACACAAAAUUAAAGUUCUCCCUUGCAGAGAAGAUGAUACUACAGCAUUAAAGAAGAUCUGGUUGACAAUUUGUUAAAUUGAUGGUAACAAAUUAAUUGACCAAUCCAUUAUUUUUGAAUUGGUGCCAUGUUUUAGUUAUUGUAUUUAAGGAACCUAAAAUUUGUAAGGCUUCUUGCAACAUGCCUUGUGGGAUAUAUUGAAGUUUAACUAGACUGAGGUUGGAAGUUUCUCAUCCCCUUUUAGUGGACUAUGUUAUGCAUUAGAGUUGUAUAGAUGUUAUAAUGAUUUAGAAAGUUUAAUGCUAUGCUUACUAAUAAAUUUUAAGUAAUUUUACUAACAUCUGAAGGAAUCUAGGGAUAGAGUUAACAUCUUAAGAUCAGACGCGUCCCUCAAUAUUUGUUCAAUCAAAAAUUUUUAUAUCAUAGUGGUAGGAAUUCCUUCCGGCCAAGUAGUUCUUUCCUAAAUUGUAGUUCAGAUAAUGGGUGUGUGUGUGCACGCGCGCGCGCGCGUGCGCCUGUGUUUUUUUCUGCAUCGAGAUCUAUGUAGUCUAUUUCAUCUUUCUAAUAAAUUAAGCGAAUAGUACUUUUUUCUAAAAAAUAAGAUUUCAUGUCAUAUGUACAAGCAUAUUAACAAAUCACAAUAAUUAUAUUUUCAAAUAAGAAAUGCUACUUGUACAUCAACUUUUGAGGCGUGUACUUUUUAAACUCAAGUUGUUUAUCUCAAAAAAAAAAAAAAAAGAAAUGAAGAAUCCUCACGAAUCUGAUAUCCUAGCUAAAAGGGGAUGGCCGAGACCUCAAACUUAAGUACUUGCUAGUGUGCUCGUUUAAAUACAUGCUGAAGAUUCUAUAAGAAGGGAUAAGGACAUCAGCAGCUACUUGCUUGAAAUUGGUGUGGUUUGGAAGAGAUGAAAUUAUUUUCUCAGAAAAUAAAUAAAAAAGUUUUUUAUAUUGGAACUAGAAAUAAACUCACAAUAAUCAUGUAUAUAAAAUAAUAAAAUAUUAUAAAUACAAAAUUAUAUACAACGAAAUAAUUUACAAUACUUACUGCAUCUAUGAUCUAUCCAAAUAAUAUAUUAAUUUAUUAUAAUUUUAACUAUACUGUAUUUUUAAUUACAUGAAUUAAAUGGUACUGCUGCUGAGAGGGGAGGAGAGAAGCGUCGGAACGUCUGAGCGAGAUUAUGCUAUUCCCUCGCCGCUAUUCCACCUAUUAUUUCCCAACAACUUAUUCCACAAAUUAUUCCCGUACUUAUCCGGCUCACCCACAACCCCUCUCCCUCCUCCUCCUCCACCUCCACGGCCCCCUCCCCUCCCCGCGCCACGUCCCCGCGAUCCUCGCCCGCGCCCUGCGCCUCGGCGCCCACGACGACGCCCUCCUCCCCGGCACCUCCCUUCUCCCCUUCAACGCCGCCAUUAGAGUCCUCUCCGAGUCCCCCAACCUCUCCCACCGCGCCCUCGCCCUCUUCAAGUCCCUCAAGCUCCGCUCCCUCUCCCCCAACGAUUUCACCUUCUCCUUCCUCUUGAAAGCCGCUUCCGCCUCCAAAGACGCUUCCUUUGUGCGCCAGGUGCACGCCCACGUCGCCAAAUCGGGGGUCGGGUCCAAUGGUUUCGUCGCGAACGGGCUCCUCUCGGCGUACGUUAAGGGCGCCGGGGAUCUCCUUUCGGCACGUAAGGUGUUCGACGAAAUGCCCGAGAGGAAGUCGGUUUGUUGUUGGACUUGUUUGGUUUCUGGGUACGCUCAAUUUGGAUUGGUGGAGGAUGCCCUGAGGUUGUUUGCGAGAAUGGUCGAGGAAAAUCUGCGGCCGGAGGAUGACACCAUGGUCGGGGUCAUUUCCGCGUGCUCAAAGCUCGACACCGGGGAAAUCGAGCAGUGGGUCAACAUGUUUACCGAAUUUGGUGAUCAAAUUUGUGAUUUUUCGGGCGAUGCGGUUGAUACAGUUCUCAUUUAUCUCCACGCAAAAUUGGACCGGAUAGAAGAAAGCAGAGAUCUGUUUGAUAAAAUGGUAGGCAGAAGAAGCGGAAAUCUGAGUGUUAUCGCUUGGAAUGCCAUGAUCGGCGGAUACGUGCAAAAUAGUCGGCCUGUCGAUGCUCUGGGUCUUUUCCAUCACAUGCUCGAUAUUUCGAUUACAAAACCUAACCACGUGACUAUCGUGAGCGUGCUCUCGGCUUGUGCUUUAGUUGGUGAUUUGAAUCUUGGGAGAUGGGCUCAUGCAUAUGCGAAAUCAAGAUAUAGCAAAUUGCUCGCGGAAUCUAACAAGAUUCUUGCUACUGCUUUCAUAGACAUGUAUUCCAAAUGCGGGAGCUUAGAGGAGGCGGAGGAUGUGUUCGAUCAAAUGGCCACGAAAGAUGUGGUCUCUUUUAAUGCCAUGAUUAUGGGACUUGCCACGAACGGUCGAGGAAACGAGGCUUUGAAGUUGUUCUUCGAGAUGGACAAGCACGGCGUAAAGCCAAAUGACGGUACAUUUCUAGGCUUGUUGUGUGCUUGCACCCACUCAAGAUUAGUCGAAGAAGGAAGAAAGUUUUUUAAGGAAAUGCACGAGAAAUACAAUGUCGUCCCCAGAUUAGAACACUACGCUUGCUUCGUCGAUCUCAUUGCACGCACUGGUUUUAUCAAAGAAGCGCUUCAGGUCGUAAACACGAUGCCGAUUGAACCUAAUGGGCUUGUUUGGGGAGCUCUCCUUGGGGCUUCUCUGGUCCACUCGAAAGUAGAUAUUGCUCGAGAUGUCGCGGAAAGGCUAUUUGACGUGGAUCCUGAAAGCUCAGCAGGUUAUGUAUUGCUGUCGAAUGCUUAUGCGACAAAUUCUAGCUGGGGAAACAUUACAGAGUUGAGAUGUUUAAUGAGGGCGAGAGGCGUAAGCAAGCAAACAGGGUUCAGUUGGAUCAACAUCGAAGGAAUUGCGCAUGAAUUCCAUGUUGGAUCUGUGUACCAUCCAGAAAUGGGAAGUAUGUACAGUUUACUGAAUUCUUUGACGCAGGAGAUGAGAUUAGUAAGUUGCUAGUCAGAUUCUCAAUUGAUGAUCAGGGUAUGUAGAUUAUACUAAUGUUCAUUGAUCAACUGUAUCAUAGCUAAUUCUUGGCCCUCUUGAGUUUCAGCCUCAAUGGCUUGGUCCUCAAACUUUAAUUUAUUACAAUUUUUGUCUCAAGCAUUUUGAAUUAUUUCAAUUAAGUUCUACAAUCUAAUUUAAUUGGCUAAAUAUUGAUGCUCGUCAGUGUCGAAGUGAUGUAAUAGUAUUGUAAUUGAUUAUAUGACAAUAAUUAAGAUAUUACGUCGUUUCUACUUCAACCAUUCAUCUAUAUUUAACCAAUUAAAUUGGCCUAAUUUGUUAAGUUCGAAUUAGAAAUUGCAAGAGAUUAAAGUUUAACGACCAACCUUAUAGUUGAGGACCAAAAGUGUAAUUUACCUUUCUUUUUAUUAAGUCAUGUUGAUGCAUUUGUGGCAAGCACUUACAUUAUUUUUGAUUUUAGUGGCUUGUGACUAAGCCAUUUUGGAGUACUUUUAUUGCUUUUUUUUUUUGUUUUCCUCUACUUUGUAAUUUGCUUAUGGCCUACCUAGUUUAUCAUUGUCACAUCUAUUUAAUUAAAUUUGGAUUCUGCAGGAGAUCAAACUCUUAACCUCUUGAUUAUCUUACUCUUAACCAUUCAUGCGGGAGAUCGCACUGUCGCACAAGAACACCCGACCUCUUGAUCGAUGAUCUAAAGCAAUGUUUUAAAAAUCGGGUUGAACAGCGAUUCGAGAAUAUUACUGAGUUACGGGUCACUGGUAAGAGCAAUUAUUAUUUUAGGAUCAGAACUUAAGUAUACAUAAGCUUCAAAUUUUAUUUUUAAUAAAAUUAAUCUAUGCUAAUAGAAAAUAAAAUUAACUAAAUUAAUUUUAAGGGGUUGAAUUUUAAUAUGAUAUGAUCAAAAAAUUCGAUGGAUUUAAUUAAAAAUUAGAUCGAUUCACAAAUCGUAUUAUAAAUUGGGUUACGAUCUAAGUUAGGAUCGGAUCGAUUGAACCAGCAUACUAGAUCUCAAUUUUAAAUUAUUGGUUUCUUUCGCUAGUCUCUUCUCCAUUGUGUCCAUGAUUAGUUCUAGAAGACAAGAUAUGACAAGUGACAAGUCAACUAUCUUGCUNAAAUUUAAAAAAAAAAAAAAAAAAAAAAAAAAAAAAAAAAAAAAAAAAAAAAAAAAUCUAAAAUGUCACACUUAUAUUACUGAGGUAGUACCGUAAUAAAUCAAAAAAAAAAAAUCUAGAGUUCAUCCAUUCCAUUAUUGUUCUUAACAAAACAUUUUUAUUUAAAUUUUUAUCUCAAAAAAAAAUAUAAUUAGUUAGGAAUAAAUAAUGUAAUGAAAACAUUUUUAUUGACUGGGAUUUGCACAUAUGCUUUAAAUCGAAAUUAAUCAGUGAUUAGAUUGGCUGGCCACAAAGUCAACUCCCUGAGUUAAUUCUCCAACGCUUAAAUAGCUUAAUAUCAUUACGAAGGAACAAAUUGGUCAACGUUAUAAAUGUAGCAUUGCUUUGUACGUUUUAUCCAUGUCCAAAUAUAUAAAGUUGCGUCACGUAAACCAUUAUAAAUUGAGCCACAAGGUCACAUAAACCAUAUUGUCAAGUGUAUCCGUGCUUUAAUAAUCGCGGAUAACAAAAUCAAUUUUAGUUGCAGCAUUUUGUGAAUAAAAAAUAAAAAAUUAAUCAUUGUAAGUAACCAAAUAAUUAGUUGAACGUAAUGGAGAAGGACCUCAAAAGUCAGAAGAUAAUGUAUAAUUGAUUUGAAAAUUUUUAGGUAAGAAUUAAUUAAAAUAUACAGAUAUCUUCUAAAUUUUAGCUCUUUCGUAAAUGGGCGUCUGAACUUUCAAUUUUAGCUAUUACAUCUCCUAAAAUUUAUCGGAUAGUUCAGUAGAUCUCUCUUCUCAAAUUAAGUUACUAAUUACACAAUCGAUCGUGUUGGUCAAAUAAUUUUAUAAAGAAAUUUAUUUUUUGUAUUCUAAUAUGUAAAAAAACCAAUAAAAAUUAAAAUUUGGUGGAACCUUUUCGUUACACGUCAUGCUGAAUUAUCAAAAUUAGAAGAAAAAAAAAGGUUUCUUUAUAUUUUGAAGUCUUAUAAGAUUAUGUGCACGACUUCUAAUCCAAAUGUUAUAAGUAGUAAGUUCACUUGAUGAGAGAGGCCUUAAUUAACUAAAUAUUGAUAUAUCAUUAACGUCAGCAUUAUGAUUAAUAAUAUAUUAAUAAUUAAGAUGUCAUAUAUAUCACUUUUAUAUUAAUAAUGAGUCAAUAUUUAGUUAACUAAGUUAGGUGGUGAGAUUUAAUUGUGAUAAUUUUGGAAGUUCGAGACGAAAAUUAUAACAAAUUAAAAUUGACAACUAAAAUAUCACCUACAUAUUAAUUUGAGAACUAAAUGUACAAUUUAUCGUUUUUUUAUUUACUAAAAAUGACUUUCUAAUCCGACUACAUUAGAGAACUUCCCNAAUAUUUAGUUAACUAAGUUAGGUGGUGAGAUUUAAUUGUGAUAAUUUUGGAAGUUCGAGACGAAAAUUAUAACAAAUUAAAAUUGACAACUAAAAUAUCACCUACAUAUUAAUUUGAGGACUAAAUGUACAAUUUAUCGUUUUUUUAUUUACUAAAAAUGACUUUCUAAUCCGACUACAUUAGAGAACUUUCCGCUGAAGUUUUAUGUUUUAAAGAUCUGUAAGUUUUUGACAUUUUAAGAAUGGUCAAAAUUGUAUUUAAAAGAGAACUUCAAUUAAUUCUAGAUAUUAUUUUUACUGUGUUUUGUUGAAAUAGUGAGAAUUAAUUAACUGGGAUGGCUCUGAGAGAUAUUGUUGACACCUAAAAUGGAACGGAAAUGUUGGAAUCAUGAUUUUUUCUGAUAUCAAUUGUUGAAAUCAGUAUUUGUGCUGAUACCGAUUAUAUAACCUAAGAUCUAAAAUCGAACAAAAUAAUAUGAAGAAGAGAUAUAUAUUGAAGGAGGAAGAAGAAAACUAAACUAAUACUUUAUUAAUUAAAAUAAUUUAAUUACACCCAAGACGAUACCUAUUUAAUCAUGUUUACUGUAGCUUGUUUCUGUAAUUAAUUUACAUCUAACUAUAUAUAAUAUAUAGCUAUGGAGUCAUAGCAGAUGAUAAAUUCAACUUUUAAUUUAGACAAUUACAAAUCUUACUCUAAUUAUAUUAAACUUUUAAAUAUAAUCAAAUUAUAAUUUGCAUAAACUCUAUUUUUAACUAAAUUUUAAAUUAAGUUUAGAUUAUUAUUCUAAACUUAAUUUAAAAUUAGCGUGAUCAUUAAUUAUAGAAUUUUAGGCGGUAGAAAUAUUAGAUUAUCAUAAGUGACGAAGUAUUCUCAUUUCUCUAUUUGAUGCAAAUUAUUCGUAGUCCAAAUAAUUUAAUAAGUUAGUGAUGACACAUUUAUUAUUCAAAAUAUAAAAUAUAUAAUACUUUUGAAAUAUUACAAACUUUGAACCAAACGGCCUCCAAUUAUAAAAACAAAAAUAGGUUAAGAUUCUCCAACAACAUUUAGCAGGUACUUUGUUAAAGUGCAUGGUUCAAAAAUGGUAAUACUUUUAAUGCAGUUAAUAAUAAACCUAUACAAGUGAUAGGACUAUUCGUGCUAAAGCUCAAACUUUAAAUUAUUGGACAAUAUAUAAAAGUAGAACUAAGAAAUGAUAAGGAUAAGAGUCAAUGACUCAGCAUAUGCAUUGCAUGUAUCUAAAGCCAUAUCCAAAUGUUGUGGGCUUUGGUUAAAGUUCAAAUUUAAAGAGAAAGUGAUGAUGGUACAUCACUACAUUCUCCUUAAUUUGUCCCCUACAAAUCCAACUCAAAUUUUUUUCUUUUUUUUUUUCAAUUAUAGUAAUCAAAUAUUUCCUUCUUCUUUUUUUUUUUUCCUUGAAUUAAUGGGUAGAUCUCUAGCUAGUACAUCUUUGUGGAGGCCAAAUCUCUAAAAAUUAACAACUAAAACUUACAAAUGUAGAUAUGAUACAAUUAAGUUUACUUUUUUCUAAAUAUCUUUGUACAGAGGGUUUUAAUAAAUCCUACAAUGAUACUCGAAACACAGUUAAUUCACAUUUUCAGCUAAAUUUAUUUUUUUUAAAAAAAUAAAUAAAAUAGUAGUAUAUUACCAUUUUUUAAAAGAAAAAAAAAACAUACAAAGAUCGAAUAAGGCUCUCAAAAUUACUUAAAAUUAUAUAUUAUGUCGGGCUUCAAAUAAAUGAGCUGUAUCAUAUCCAUAAUAAACAUACCAAUUUGAAUAUUAUAACAUAUUGUGAAAAAAAUUAUUGUUAGAUUCAAAGCUACUCAUUUGGAUUGGGUUAAUGCAUAAAUCAUAUAAAAUAAAUUUCAUCAGUUUCAACAAACAUAAUAAAUUUUAGAGAGAAUUACCUAUGGAAUAAACCCGGCGACUCUUAUAAAUAUAUGUGUUGUUUAUAAAAUAGUUAACAUCACCCUCUAAAACCCUCUAACAGAGAAAAAUAAAUAUUGUCAAACUAUUAUUUGUUACUGUAGUUUAACAAGAGUUCAAAUCAUAAUUAGAUACAAUAAAUGUGAUCGUGUAAUAUCAAUUUUAUUUGCUACAAUAUUAAUUCUAAGAAAAAAAAAAGUAAUUAUUAUAACGAUUAAUUUUCAGAUAAAGGACAGAAUCCUUAAUUUCCAGAUAUAAUAAUAAUAAUAAUAAUAAUAAUAAUAAUAAUAACUAAAAAAGCAAAAUCUAUAUAUAAAAUCUUAUUACACACAUGUACGAGAUUCUCCGUCCAAGGGCAAUUUCGUCAUUUCACAAUAUCCCUAUCCUGGAAAGAGAACCAGAUUCUUCCUCUCCCGCACUAAAAUCCAAACCGCUUAAAAAUAAUUAAAAAUAAAUUAAAAAAAAAUAAAAUAAAAAAGACAUCCUCCAUCUUUUUCUCUCUCUCUCUCUCUCUCUCUCUCUCCCCUUUACCUUCUCCGACGACCUAGGGUUUCCUCUCCGAUUAUAUCAGGGCUCCAACAAUUCCCCAUUCCCGAUCCCACCAAGCUCCCUCCUUGCCCCCGAAUCCUAGCUCCUCUACCCUAACCCUACCUGGAUCCAGCUCCUCGAGCGCGAAUUUAGGAUCCCCGAUUCUAGGGUUGCUAGCCCCUGAUUUGAGGGGCUAUAAGGGAAGGGGAAGAGAUCUAGGGUUCCGGCGACCAUGUCCGUCCCGGCGAUCGCCCUCUACGCGAGCCCCCCCGGGGCCGUGUGCUCCGCCGCGCCCCACCACUCCUCCCAGAUCGCCGCCUCCCAUGGCGCCUCCGACCUCGACCUCCUCUCCCGCCCCGCGUCCUCCGCCGCCGCAUCGUCGCCGUCGUCCUCAGCCGCCGCCCAGAAGCCCGGCGCCGGCGGCCUCUCGUGCCUCUUCUCCUCCACUUCCGCCGCCGCCCCCGCAGCGCGCCAUGGCCCCCCCUCGAGCUUCGGCGCCGGCUGCGGCGACGAGAGAUCGGAUGAACUCGGGUGCUCCUACCCGUACUCCUCGCACGCGCCCUCGUCGUCGUUCAAGUGCCGCGACCAUAGCCCCGUGUCGGUGUUCCAGGGCCCGGUGUCGUGCGGCGGGAGCGGAGCUUCGAGAAGCCCGGCGGUGUCGAGGCCGCCGCGGGAUUGGUUGGGAAGCGAUUGGAGGGUCGGAAGAGAUCGGCUCUUUAGCGGGUUUGUGAUGAACGCAUUGGGUUCUUGCUUAGAUUAUGUACCACCUAGUUUUCCGAUUCAGGGGGAUAUCGCAACCGAUGUCGGAGAUCUCUCAUUUGAGUUGGAUGAGAGCUUGGUUGAGAUAGAACCGAUAUGUGAGCCGUAUGCAAAGGAAUUGCUCAUCGGGGCUCAAUCGCGGCACAAGAUUUUCUACGAGGAGCUCGUUGUGAAGGCCUUUUAUGAAGCCGAGAAGGCUCAUAGAGGGCAGGUGAUUGAUAUUUUUGUCUCAUUGAAUGUGUUACUGAUUACUGAAGUUGCGAUUUUUUGGGUUGUGAAUUGAACUUUUGUUUCUCUCUAUUUGUGUAUUAGACGAGGGCGAGCGGAGAUCCCUACUUGCAGCAUUGUGUGGAGACGGCAGUUCUAUUAGCGAAGGUCGGUGCUAACGCCACCGUAGUUUCUGCCGGGCUUUUACACGACACAAUCGAUGAUUCUUUCAUGGAUUAUGAUUACAUUUUCAAAAUGUUUGGAGCUGGUGUGGCUGAUCUUGUUGAGGGGGUAUGCUAAUAUUGUACUUAUUUCUUUUUCUUCUCUGUUCUUUUCUUUAAUUUACCUAUUAAUGACACAUUAUGAGGAAGCGUGACAUAUUUUAGUGUAGCUUGGCAUGUCCUUUUUUGUAUCUUUGACUUUCUUGUAGCAAGUUAUAGUGCCAGGUGGUUAGAUACUCAAUAUUAUGCGUCUCCAUCUUAUUAUUCUCUUUACUUUUGGUACAUUCGUGAAAAUUCCUCCAUCCUCACCUUUGUAUGCCUGCUUCUUGGUAUAGUGAUUAUGAUCAGAUAAAUAUAUAAGCUUUUCAAUCAUAGAUAUCUCUGGUUGCUAGCUCAUUCUUUGCCUCUAUUUUAUUUAGGUAAAAACAUACAGAACUUACUUGAAGUAUGGACCAUUUUGAUUUAGCUACCCAACCUUUCAAAAAUUUGAUUUUACUAUCCAAUCUUCCAAUUUGUUUGAUUUGAGUCAGUCGACAGUUUUUGAAACAAAUUGAAAGGUUGAGUAGUAAAAUCAAAAUUUUGAAAGGUUGUGUAGCCGAUUCAAAAUGGUCCAUUAAGUUUUGUACGUUUUUACCUUUUAAUUACAUUGGAUUGCAUGGUGAAUCUAAAAUAGUAUGAAAUAUAAUAAAUUGAAGAUAGACUUGUGAUCAACUAAGCGGAGUAUUGUUUCAUCCAUGCUUGUGCUAGCGCAAAUGCCUCUUCAUUGAGAAUUUAUACACUGUAUUAGGUGUAGUGCUAGCUGAUACAAACAAAAAAAAAGAAAAAAAGAAAUUCGAGGGCCAAUGUUGAAAUAGUUUGUUGGGUGUACAUUGGUGAGAUUUGUCAUGAGAACUGUGCUGAUCAUUUGGUAAUGUCUAGACAUGUGGCAGCUGUGUGAUUCAUUGAUUUUAAGUGUUUUUUUGUUGUUAGCAUCAAGUCAACUUCUAACUUCUGAUGUCAAAUAUAUAAUUGGAGGAUUGUUUUCAAAAUUAUAUUAACAUAGAAUUGUAUCAAUUUUAUGUUUUCUUUUUGGGUAAUACUAUAUGUAUUUCUAGGGUUCAAAAGUUCAAAAUUUUGAUUGUUGCUUUGCAUUUUAUCCAGGUCUCAAAGUUAAGCCAUUUAAGCAAGCUUGCUCGUGACAAUAAUACUGCAAGCAACACCCUCGAGGCUGACCGAUUACACACAAUGUUUCUUGCAAUGGCUGAUGCAAGAGCUGUUCUCAUCAAGCUAGCAGACCGACUGCAUAACAUGAUGACUUUAGAGGCAUUACCGAUGGUCAAACAGCAGAGAUUUGCAAAGGAGACUCUGGAAAUUUUUGUGCCUUUGGCCAGUAGAUUAGGAAUCUCUAGCUGGAAGGAGCAGCUGGAGAAUAUUUGCUUCAAACAUCUUUACCCGGAGGAGCACAAAGAUUUAUCAUCGAAACUCCUCAAGUCCUUUGACGAAGCACUUAUUACAUCUGCUGUAGAGAAACUAGAAAAGAGUCUCAAGCAUGAAGGCGUACCUUACCAUGUUAUAUCUGGGAGGCACAAGAGCUUGUACAGUAUCUACUUGAAGAUGCUAAAGUGCGUCUGGUUCUCUUUUUGUUUAGAAAUAUUUCUGCAUGUACUCUUUACAUUGCCUGCUCUAGUGUGAAAAGUUUCCUUCGGAACUUUUAUCUAGAUAUAUCCCUGCAAAAUCAUUUAUUUACAUAUAUAACCCUGCAAAAUGUGAUUUUUCAUAAAUACCCUUUGAAAGGGCAGUUUUUACGUAAAUAUCCUCAAGUUGAGCAGUAAUUCAAUUUGCCGAGUUAAGUUUGUUUUGCACUAGAAAAAGUUUUAAAUAGGGUCAGCCUUUUAAAGUGCGAGAAUUUUUUUCAAAAAAAAAUGAGUUUUUUCGAAGGACAUACUUGAAAUUUUCAUAUUUUGCAAAGGCAAAUAUGUUAUUAGAUAGUUUGCAUGGGUAUACAUGUAAAUGUAUUUGUUUUUCAGGAAUUUGCCCCUUUUUUUAUGACCGUAUAUGUGGCUAACUUGGUCUCUACAACCUUCAUCAGGAAGAAUCUAACCAUGGAUGAGAUCCACGACAUCCAUGGACUACGGCUGGUAGUUGAGAAUGAAGAAGACUGUUAUAAAGCACUUGAUAUUGUUCAUGGACUAUGGACUAAGGUUGUUGGGAGAUUUAAGGACUACAUCGAUCAUCCCAAGUCAAAUGGGUAUACACUGAAAUCAAAUUGAUAUAUAUAUAUAUAUAUGUGCUUUCUUGUUGGAGCUUCUUCUGAUUGUGAGCUUGCAGGUACCAAUCUCUACACACUGUUGUUCUGGGGGAAGAUAUGCUUCCGUUUGAAGUUCAGAUCCGAACCAGGGAGAUGCAUCUGCAGGCCGAAUAUGGAUUUGCUGCGCAUUGGAGGUAUAAAGAAGGUAGUUGCAAGCACUCCUUUGUGCUACAAAUGGUGGAGUGGGCGCGAUGGGUCGUUAGCUGGCAGUGUGAGACGAUGAGCAAAGAACGGGUCUCGUCUUUUGGUGACUCCAGUGUGAUCAGGCCACCGUGCCCAUUUCCUUCUCAUUCUGAGGGCUGCCCUUAUUCGUACACGCGUCGAUGCAACCAUGAUGGACCUGUUUUCAUCAUCAUGAUGGAAAAUGAGAAGGUUGGUUUGUUCUUUCAAUGCCCAUUCUCUUCGUUCAUACAUAAAUAAAUAUUGCUAUUUAUUGGUGGCUAUCUACGUGAGUUACGAUUUUCAGUUGAUAAUAUCCUUCAACAUGUUUGACGAAAUAAUUGCCUGACAUUAUUCUUCGUAUAUCCUAUUAUACCUUAUUAUACCUAUGACAAAGUCGACUUUACAUUUGGUUUUGGACUAUGGGAAUUACCCAAUUUGUUAUGUGGAAAAGUGUAACAAUUAAUUGGUGGAUAGAACAAUUCCAGGUUUUGGCGGAAAUUCUUGCUUCCCUGGGUUGUCCUAUAGAAGAAAACCCCUACUGAUCUGAACAAUUAUCCCUGAACUUCAACCUUUGUAUGAUAUAGGGGGAUAACUUAAGCUGCUUUCUUCCUUAAACCAAAAAAUAAAGUCCUUUAUAUCACACUUUUUUUUUGAAAGAAAUAUAGUUAACACAUCGAGUUAUUCCGUAAUCUGACAUGGCCCUUGUCACGACUUCAGAUGUCCGUUCAGGAGUUCCCCACAAACUCGACCGUGAUGGAUCUCUUGGAAAGGGUCGGGAGUACAAGAUGGACUCCUCACAGCUUUCCUUUGAAAGAGGAGCUGAGGCCGAGGCUGAACCACGAGCCGGUGAGUGACCCCAAGCAGAAACUGUGUAUGGGGGACGUGAUCGAGCUCACGCCGGCCCUUCCCCACAAGUCGUUGACCGAGUAUAGGGAGGAAAUCCAGAGGAUGUAUGAGGGGGGGCUCACCGUUUCAAGCCGAGGUGGCUGGAAAAGCUGACAAAUUCGUGCCUACGUCGAUGAUUCGACCUCUGUUGUACUUUACCCAUUGAUUUGUUGUAGCCGAGGUGGCCGGAAAAGCUGACAAAUUCGUGCCUACGUCGAUGAUUCGACCUCUGUUGUACUUUACCCAUUGAUUUGUUGUAUAUAUAAAUAUAUAUAUAUAUGUAUGUAUGUAUGAACUGUUUGUAUAGUAAAACCCUCGAAUUGUCGAAUCUUGAUGGUAAACCAAUCCAAGUAUUUGCUCUUUCUGGCUUUUACUUAUGUGACAUUGAUGUGCACUCAUGCAAAAUCUCAUUCGGUGGAUUUGCGUUCUUUAUGUGCAGUAAACAUUUGAGGAUGAAACUGUUUGAGCUGCAAGAGAGCUUGAUGUUUUACUACCAAUCCAAAGUUUUAUUUCAAUGCAGCAGCACUCAUGCGUGACAAUUACAGUCAGGGAUUGCUCUCUAUCAACCACUAUCUGGGCUAUGUUGAGAGCACUCUUCGGCCGAAAAUGGGUAAUGAAUCUGUAAUCAGGAAAUCGGCUUUACUUCUUUUGACUGGAUGAUGCAAAAGCUUACUAUCGAGAAUUGGGCGUGCGCUGAUCGCGCGAACUCAACUUUGCGCCCACCUAGCAUGAAGUCGAGAACUGGUGCCGUAUGGCAACCCGGAACUCCUCCCAUGCUCUGCAAAACUAUCUGACAUUUCUCGAACUGACGAAUUUAAUGCAGAAAGUCAUAUGCUUCCAAUGCAACCCCACUUUCUGGACAUGAUUUAUGCACGGCUAUUAUCAAGGAUUCGAUUCAGCAACAGGACUGAGUUUUCGAUUCAAAGACUUAAAACUUUUGCGUACUUGCUGGGAACAUUUGAAAUGUAGGUGUCUAGUACACAACUCAAUUUCAACCUAAGCAGGCUUGUUUUACCUUGCUUUAGUAGUUGAUUUUUUGUACAUUAAUUAUUCAUUAUAUGAAAUUUUAAUAUAUUUUAAUAUAUGAAUCGUCGCUUUGGCCGAGUGGUUAAGGCGUGUGCCUGCUAAGUACAUGGGGUUUCCCCGCGAGAGUUCGAAUCUCUCAGGCGACGAACUUUUUUUUUUGUGUGUUCUUAAAUUUUUUUCUAAUUUGUAUUUCAUAUAUACUGGAGAAUUCUUACAAGAUAGCUAUAAAAAUAAAACAAACUUUGUAGAAACCGAGUCCCUGCUACAGAACGAAAUAUUUUUUUCUAUCUGAUUAAAUUAAGUUUAAAUGUUCAAAUCUCUAAGGUGACAAUUUUUUAAAAUUUUGUUUCUAAAUUUUCCAGCUUCGACAACACAUCCAAAAGUACUUCAAGAAAAAUCCACGCUGAUAGAUCAAAACAUAAACAAACUCCGUAGAUCACAAGUCCCUGUCGCUGUAUCAACCAACUAAUUUUAUAUUUGCUGUGAAAUGUUUCUUUCAAACUCCCAUCAUACAUAAAGCUUUAUCAACCACACCAGUAUUAAUAAUUUGGACCUAAUACAUGCAUCUAGAAGGUGUCUAAUUUUGUUCUGAAAAAAAAAAAGAAGACCAAAGAAUGCUGCAUUUAUCUAAUUUUGUUCCAAAAGUAUCUCAAAUAAAAAAGCUUCAGAGAAACUUGAACAUGUAAUCCUCAUCAGCUACACAGGUGCCAUCAAAAUUUUCAUAUCUCCGCAAAAAAAAAAAAAAAAAAAAAAACCGACUUAAUACCAUAUGCCGAACCAAGAACAGUUGCAGGAAAUUACCCAGCGAAAUAAGCCUCUGAAACAUAGAUCAAAAUUACAAUACGGGUUGCGAUGGAUUGAAGACAAUAAUGCGGUGAACCUUAUUUCCAUGGCACAUAACUCUUCAGCGAGCGAGAAGCAUUUAAUGGGUUUUUCUCAUUCAUCUAAUCUUCACCAACAAAUCGUUCGCUCCCGAUCACGUUUCGACAGCUUCUGACUUAAACAAACCAGUGAAACUUUGCUACUUGUCCAUAUGACAAUUCCAGGCCCUGCAAAAGAACAGUUAAAAACUAUUAGCACCUAAAAUUUUGGUAUUUCUCUUCGACUCCAAGUACACUCCAACCUCACACUGGAUCUUUACUAACCGCAUGGCGAAAAAUUUGAUCGUCAUUUAGUUUUCUAUAGCUGAUAUUUAAUAACAGAGAGGAACAUAGUACUUCUAAUGGAAUCAUAAGUAUAGUGCGGAAUAAUAAAUCUAUGUAUCAGCGACAGGAUUUUCAUCAUGUAACCACAUAUAUAACUAUUCACGGGAGAGGUUAACUCACCAGUCUUUUCGUCAGUGGAAACAUCAAUGUUGUUUCGCCACAGAACUCCAAUAUAUGUCUAGCUUCGUAAAAUUUUUAAUGCUCAACUAUCUAAGUCAUAAAAGAGGAAGAAAACAUCAAUAAACUGUACUUAAAAAAGCAAUAAUACAACUUGAAUAUUAUAUUGUUUCAGCAAAAAUGUCAACAGGAAAGAAUUGUGUAAAAAUAAAUAAAUACUUUGAGAAAUUUAAUUCCAGCCAAACUAUCACGCCUGAGAGACUUAAACUAGUCCACUAACAUUGGAUUGUUAUGCAUAGUGGCCUUUUACAACUGCCACAAUGAUUAACAAAUUGAUCAAAUAAAGUCAUGGGAUGCACAAUCCUCUUAAAGCCAAUUUCGUAAGUAGGUAUGAACUACAUAUGUUUGACCCUACAAGGUGCACUCCAAAAAUAAUACUGCAAUGAGAGAUCGCAGCAGCAACAGAAAAACAAUUUAGUUGCCAAUUUUUGGAUCAUGUAUUGUUUCAAUGAACAAAAGACACUUAUCCUUCACUUGUAAAGGAGCCUUAACCUAAAGAAUGCUCAGCUGAAAAAUUGUUUUGACACAUAAUACAUAGUCCAUGAGGGUCAGCGCACUCCAUUGCUCUCCAAUCCUCUGGAGAUAAGGCUAAACCAUAAGUGAGAACAGAAGCAUGACUCAACUCUGUACACACAGAAAGAAUCAUACAACUCUAGUAUUUUGAUAGAACAACGGAUAUAGCACAAUCUAAGGCCUCAGAUGCUGAUUUCUCUUUUUACUCCUGGAACUAGUAACUUCAUAACAAAGACAGUGCAUCAAACUUCCAUUACAAGGUAAACCUGAUUAUCAUUUGCAUAUUUAUUUUCUCACAGUUCCAAUUGACCAGAAAAAUUAAUUCUAACGUCCAAUAAACAAUAUAUAUAACAGUAAUAACUACUGCACAAGCUGCAAACUAUGAUCUGAAAUAACUGUUGUAUUUUUCUAUUAAACUUCUUUCCAACAAACAAUCUGAGAAUAUCAAAUCCGCAUCAUAUGGUUAUUUUCCUGCUCUUGCAAUUUCUCCUGAACAUUGCAGUAAGCAUUUUUCAUGAAGUGAGCUUGGUUCAAGCAUGAAAAUGUUGAGAUAAGAGCUACUUUUCUUAUUACUCUAACAAAAAUCAUCUUGUUUUUGACUGGUUAAAACCUCCAGAAAUCAUUUGCAAAAACAGCAAAACAAUGUGGCGAAAAAAAAAAAAGCAAAAUAAGAUCUAUUUGACAUAAAGAUGGCACAAACGAUUUAAUAAGCCGUACACCUCUCCCUCAAAGCAUAGACAACUGUCUGGCCACAUAUGAUCUAACUCCAACAACUGAGUAUACACUUGGACCUUUCAUCACAUGCACAAUGUUCUAAGAAACCAAUGCUUAGAUAAAAGUUGCAGAAAGCUACCUUACAAGAAUUUUCAGAAAGUGUAACGACCCAGCCCACUAGCAACAAUAACUCGUUGGGCCCAAACACCGGCCCAAAAUGCUUAAGCCCAGUUAUUAUUACUAGUGUCUAAAUCUCUUAUAUACCUAAUCACAUCUCCAUUUAUAUCCGAUGUGGGAUUAUUAGGGUGUGACAGAAAGUAAUUUAUAUUGUCAUUCCUAGAGAGGUUGAUAAAUUGGACGCUACCCUCAAAUGCAAAAAGAAGGGGGAGGGAGGGGGGGCGGAGGGGGGGGAACGUAAAAUCCAUGAGAGAACUCACAUAUUCAAGUAUCAUCACAUAAAAUAAAAUGUAUCCAUUAUGCUCCAAACAUAUUCUUUAAGCCUUUGAAUCUGUCUUUUUGUUGGAAUGAUGUGAAUUUCUUACAAUGGAUAAUUGAUAUUUUUGCUGAAAGAAAAUAACAGAAAUAUGAUACUUAUUUGUUACAUAAAUGACUAUGAAAACCAAUAUCCGUCUUAAUUGAUCAUCAAAGUUGUAAAUAUUUUAUUGCUAAAUAUCAGGCUAAAACUAAAUAUGAAAAUAAAUCUGAACUGGAUCAGUUAUGGAACAACCAUCCUUUAUCUCAAUUAACAGCCAUGUAUAAAGUAUACAAAACUUAUUGAUGCAGGUCAAAAGCGUAUAAUUAUCAUUAUAUCAGCUAAAAAAACAGCCAAAAAGAAAGUGAGGGGCAGCUUUCGAUUAAAAAUAAAUGGUGCAUAAUAUUUGAACGGAUUACAAGAAAAAACCCGCAAUAAGAAAAUUCCAGCCAAGCAACACAAUAGUAGUUUCGUUUUGUGGAAGUUUUGCCAGAUUAAUUGUUGCAUGGACAUUUCAGGAACCCAUAUGACAUUUAACGGAAUAAGCCUUUCCCAGGCCUUAAAUUUGGACAAAUGAAGAACAACUAUCAAAAGAAUUAUUAUCUGGCAAAAAAACAUCCAUCAAUUGUUUACAAAACUAUCCAAUAUAGAUAGAGUACCAGAUAAAAAAAAA